AGAGAGGAAGAAGUCAAGAAUCACCAUGAGAUUGCAAACCUAGGAGAAUGGUAGAAUAGUGAUGCCAUUCAUAGAAAUGACAUGGACAGAAGAGGAAUGGGGUUAGGGGAAAAUAUGAGUUAUAUUUUGUACAUGUUGUGCUUGAGAUGCCUAUGAGACAUCCAAAAGGAGAUUUCCACAAGGCAUUUGGCGAUAUGGGUAGUAUAUGUGAAAGAUUAUCUAAAGAUGCAUAAUUUGGAAGUCAUUGGCAUCAAAAUGGUGAGCUCACUAAGACUGUAGAGGGAUGUUUUAAGAUAGAAACAAGAGAUACAGCCCUCAUUAAUGGAAGAUAGACAGAUGAUCAAAUAAAAGAGAAUAAGGAGUGUUCAGAUAAGUAGUUCAAGAAUUAAGGCAGAGCAGUGUUGUUUCUUCUUGACUUCUGUCAAGGGAGCUAAAAGUACUAAGGAAUAGAUUGUGGUUAAGAAUGCUAAAAAACUACAGAGAGGUGAAGAAUGAGAAGAGCCCAAUUUUGCAAUUAGAUCAUUAGUAAUUUUGGAGAGGUUAAUUUCAGUCAAACAGUGAUCAAUAUGGAUCAGUAAGGAAGCAAUGGCUAUAAAUUAUCUUUUCUAGGAAUUCACCUAUGAAAGAAGAGUCACAGAAUGUCAGAUAAAAGGAUGUGAAAGACUUUUACAAUAGAGAGGAGACCUAGACAUAUUUGUCAUCUUCAGGAAAAGAGUGAGCAGGUACAAAAAAAUGACAGAUGAGAGAAAGAGAAUUGUUAUAGAUACAAGCUUCCAAAGGAUACAGGAGGAAAUAAGAUCAAAAACACCAGUGAAAGAUUAGACUUUAUACAAAGUGUUACUUUUUUCUGGGAGUUGAUAAGAAAGGAAGCAAAAAGGGUGGAAUUAAUAAAAUAAACAAAAGGGAUUUGAGGAAUAAAUAAUAAUAGAAAAGGAGUUCAAAAUGGAAGGCUUUUAAUUUUUCAGUACAGUAGGAAAAGGGAAUUCUUCAUUGAAGAGGUAUGGAAAGGAGAUAAUAUAGGGAAUUUGAAGUGAGAAGAAAAAAAUUGGAAUAACUAAUAUCAAGAGUAUGACAGAGAAAAAGGAAAGAAAAAUAAGAUUACCAUGCAGCUAUGAGGAUCCUAUUGAUAUCAGAUAACACUAGUUUUGUAGGCCGAGGUGGGAGAGCCACAUGCAAGAAGCAGAGAAGACCUAUACUGAGUUUUGUGGAAAGGAAACUAGACUAACAGUUUGUGUGGGGGAAGGGCCAACUGAGAGUGGCAGUUGGGUCUUGUGACUAGCACUUCCUUCCUGCCGGGAGUGGCAAUUGGGUCUGGUGACUAGCACUUCCUUCCUGCCGGGUGGGACUGGCUUGCGGGUGUCAGAGGAGAGAGGAGCUUGUUCAGCCCAGUCUGGAGUGGCAUGCUCUUCUUGGUUCAGCCCAAAGACACAGGCUUCUAAAGGUUAGAAUUGUUCUUGUUUGCUUUCUGUGUACUGCUAAGAUUCUGAAUUAGAACAACGAGAGUAGACGGGAGUGGGACAAACUUUCCACCAGCCUCUGGGGCCUGGCCUCAGGUCUGAAGCUGAGAAAAACUCCAAUCCCAACUGGAUUAUUAAACUUUAUAUUAUUAAAUUCACAGUCAGAUAAGUGGACUAUCUUUCUGGUCAUAGAGGGAGCUGAACUUCAGUUUCAGUCAUUCAAAGACAAACCGUCCUUAUUGGACCCCUGCUGUUUACUCUCAGCAGGGGGCAUCUCCCUCCCUUGCCUCACCAAGCAAUAUACCCUCUCUCCCCUUAACUCCUCAUUAUCCCAUACAAACCCCCCAUUAUCCCCCUGUUUUCCAAAUCUUCCUAUUUCCUUUCCCAAUAAAUAUUACAGUUUCAACCAGGAUUGAGAUUUGACAAUAUGUAACUAAUUAUAAAACAAGAAAGGAAAGGUAAUCAAAGGCAUUGGGUAGUGUAGAGAUGAACUGGUCAGUAAUAGGGUCAAAACUGUUAAGUCAAAAAAGGGAAGAUACAGCUAGAGUAAUGGAACUGGAGAAGAGGAAGAGCUUGAGGCACCAGAGAUCAUGAUGAUAAUUUUUAAAAUAGGGUUAGGAUGAGUAAGAAGAUGGGAAAUAUGGAAAGGAUAAAAAGUUGUGCUCCUUGAAAGGAAUUUCUGAUUUCUGGAUUACUCAGAUAGAACAGUUAUGAUUGAUGUUUCCAUCCUUUCGAUCCUUAAGAUGCAGCCAUUGCUAUAGGAGACUAAUGUCGAGAGAUUAAGGUAGGGCAAGAGAGUCGAGAAAACUGGUGAACUGUGUGGAGUCAGGGUCAUAUAGGGGAUUUUUGACAUAUAUUGAGGUAUCAAGUAUGAGGCAAGAUGUUUGGGUGGAGAAGAAGACUGAAUUAUUACUGAACUCUUUGAAAAAGGAAAACUAGUGAACUGCAAUGAGUUAGAAAGACUCCAGCAAAAGGAUCUUGAUGGGUUAUAAAGGUGACUGAUAAAAUGUAAUCUCAACUUGACCCUCAUUGUAGCAAAACAACUUCUUUUUACUCCUACUAGGAGUAAAAAGAGCCAACUGAGCGACCCUCAAAGAGUUCUGGGAGUCACAAUAUAAAGCAAGAGCACAGGUAAUUGAUGGUACAUAGUAUAGAGAAUGUUUUAUAUGUACUAUAUAUAAAGGUUGUCUAUCAGACAUAGAGGUGUAUGGGAGAGGGGUGUAUGGGGUGCUCAGGGAGGGGUAAUAUCUCUGGUAUGGAGGGCUUGUCGUGCCCUUCUAGGGCAGCUCUCCAGCCUCUGACCCCCACCUGACACCCAGCUCUCACUUGUGGCUCCUAGUAGCUGCUAGCAUGGGGCAGUGGCCACACCCCGGGCAACGGCUUCGACAGGCCAGCUAAACCUUGUGAGGGUAGCCAUCGGGUCGACAUUGACCCCUGGUGAACUAGGGCUUUGCUCACCCAGCAUGUGAAGACUGCUUUGGCGGAACAGGCGGAACCAACAAGAAGGUUCAAUGGCUGAGAUGGUGAUGCAGCAAGGCACUGUGGAGUGCUUAGGGCGUGAUGGAGCACAAAAGACAACACGACCAUCCAAUGCAGCUGAGGAAGUCUCCAGGUGUAACGACUUUUCGUGCCAAUGGACCCAGGCUUCCAACGCCAAGAGAGUGGGACUGUCUCUGUGCAUCGACUUUUCCACUUAAAUCUUCAUGCACAGGUGUCUUUGUGCACAAAAACGCACAAAGACAAUCGUCAUCCUCAGUUCAAGAGACAACCAACAACAACAUCAGACAGAUACUGAGUGAAGAGACAAUAAUUCCAAGGUAAAUUGGCUUUUGAAAAUUUAAAGGAUCACUAGUCAUUUCAGAGAUUAAUUUCAGUGGAGUGAUGACACUAUGUUCCAAUGGACUGAAAUAUAAGGAGAAAAAGACGAAAAAAAUUUAGAUACCAUUUUCUAGGAGUUGGACUCAAUGAAGAUUAGAGGUAAUUGUGGGAGCAAUCUUCUGAAGAAGUCAGAAGAAAAUAGAAAGUGUGGGAGACUUCAGAUAAGCAAAGGUUUUUAAGGGUUCCUAUGAACAUCUUCAUUGUCUCCGGAUCUGCUGACUCAUUUUCUGCUGACCACAAAUAUGCCCAUUCAUAAAAGUCCUUUAUUUAACCCAACCAUCCCUUCAAACUAUAAUUCCAUAUCUCUCCUCCCUUUUGCAGCCCAACUCCUAGAAAAUGGUAUCUAAAUUUUUUCCUCUUUGUCUCUUGCUUUAUAUUGUGACUCCCAGAACUCUUUGAGGGUCGCUCAGUUGUCUCUAAGAGAUUAGUUAUUCAGGUACUGAGCCUAGGCUUAGAAGGCUGGAGCCUAGAAGAGCAAAUACUGGUGAUGAACAGUUUGAGUGCAGCAAUGCACCUCCUUGGCUGGUGUGUUUAUGCUGGGAAUCAUUAUUAUGACUGGUAAGUUGACAUAAGCCUUAUCAAACAUUUUACUGGCUAAUUAGUAUUUUAUUUGAAAAAAUCCACCUUUUUGUGUUUAAUUGCCACAGAAGAACUAAAUAAUCCCUUGGUAAAGAUCAUAAAUGGUUAGUAUUAGUAGGAAUAUUGGCGAUCCUCAUUUUGUAAGUGGGAAAAAUAAGUCCCAAAGAGAAUAGCCACCAAGAUGGUCUGAGACUUCAUUACUCGUGGCUCCUAAUACAAUGAUCUUGUUUCUCCACUUCAGAAUUCACCAGUGACAGAAGCCAGUUGUCUCUGGCAAAUGCCAUUAGGUCAUUUUUUAGUGUUUUACUCACUGAAUUAUCCUUACUUCCUAUAUGGAGAGAAGAAUAUACAAGAGCAAAAGGAUAAAAGGAAAAGAUCUUCACUUUUCUGAAUGAGACAGUGGGACUAGAUGAUGUUCAAAGUCCUUUCCAGCACUAAAAAUGUUUCCAAUGGACAUCUGGAAAACAAAAGAAAAUGCAAAGGGGAAAAUCUAUUAUGUCUAUUAAGAAAACCUGUUUUCAUCUUUACUUAGAGAAUGUUGAUGCAGCAUUUGUUGACAUUCAUGAAUUCUGUCAAUAUUCCAGUUAUCACUGAACUGUUUGUAUAUGAGUUUAUCUGAUGAGAAAAUAACCUAUUCCUGCUUAUAGAAUCCAAGCCUCCCUCCCAGAUCCAUGUUCAAGUUGCUCUGGAUUCUUUGAGUUGAUGUCAGUCUUAAACAACAAAUCAGAACAUCAGUAGUCUAUCACUUCAAAUUUUGAAUAGCAUUAUAUACACAUUGGUCAGGAUAAAUCUCUGAAUACAAACUCAUGCAGUACUUUAAAAAGUCAUCUCUUUCCCCUGCUUUAAGCUUGCAUUGUAUUUAGACUAAUAGUCCUGAAGUCUCAGACUUGCUCUAUGAGUAUAUUCUAUGGGACUCAUUUUUCUUACUUAUAAGAUGAGAACCUCAAAUGUUCCUAUCAAUACUUAAAUAAUCAUGACCUUUCCCAAGAUGUAAAAUGACAUAUUACUACCACUUUCCCAUCUGUCUCCUUUAUCUUAGUUUUGCCCUUAUGCACAGAAUUAAAGUUCAUUAAUUUCUACAGUGUGCUUACAUCUAAGAAUCUUUCAGUGUUAUGAUAGGAAAUCAUUUAAGCUUCUUUGUAUAUUUUCCCCUAAACCUAGAAUGAUUCCAGAAAUAAGACUGCGAUUCCUCAGGUUGAACUUGUUUGCUCAUUUUUGGUUUUGCAAAAUGUCUCAAUCCAAGAAAGUAAAAAAAAAAACUAAAAGGAAAUGGAUGAUGGUAAGUUUUCAUCAUGGUAAAUUUAUUAGCUAACUUUAACUAUGUGUAUUUUCACAUUCUAACCACUGAAUGAUGAGACUAUUUGGAACCUCAAUUGUAAGCAAGAAAACUAGAGAAACCCAUAUGGUGAUUUGACAAAGCUCCAAGGACAAGAAUUCAACAAAACACAACAGUGUAAGAAAAAAAUAACACAGCCUUAAAGAGUAUGGUUUUAUAGUUUAUUUUUUGUUUUGUUUUUUCCUUCAGAGGAAAUUCUUGUUUUAUUAUGUACUUAGUAACU